rnacentral:rRNA from 1 species
AUUGAACGCUGGCGGCAGGCUUAACACAUGCAAGUCGAGCGAGCGGCGGACGGGUGAGUAAUGUCUGGGAAACUGCCUGAUGGAGGGGGAUAACUACUGGAAACGGUAGCUAAUACCGCAUACCAUCAGAUGUGCCCAGAUGGGAUUAGCUAGUAGGUGGGGUAAUGGCGCACCUAGGCGACGCUCCCUAGCUGGUCGGAGAGGAUGACCAACCAAACUGGAACUUAGACACGGACCAGACUCCUACGGGGGGCAGCAGUGGGGAAUAAUGCACAAUGGGCGCAAGCCUGAUGCAGCCAUGCCGCGUGUGUGAAGAAGGCCUUCGGGUUGUAAAGCACUUUCAGCGAGGAGGCGUUACUCACAGAAGAAGCACCGGCUAACUCCGUGCCAGCAGCCGCGGUAAUUC